CGUAAACCUCUAUGAACCAAAUAUGCUUUGGGCUCAGGGGUGAAGCACAGGAGAGGGAGGAGGGAAAAGUCACUGGGGCUGGGAGUGCUCACUUCCCUGUGAGUGUCACCCCAGUCCUCCUCCAGUACCCUACCUUUUCCUCUCUGGACCUACUUCCUCUUGUUGCCUGCUCCUCCCCAUUGAAUAACAGCCAAGUUGCUUUAGUUUCUAUUUCUUUGUUAAGUCUUUCCCUCUGCAGAGAGCUGCCUGGCAGGUGUGAAAGACAGCAGUGCCACAGAGGCGGUGGAGAGAUGGCCUGCAGUGGUGCCCCGACUACCUACCUGAACCCACCAAUCCCCUUUUCUGGGACAAUCGAAGGGGGUCUCCAGGACGGACUUCAGAUCACUGUCAGUGGGACCAUCCUCAACUCCAGCGGCACCAGGUUUUCUGUGGACUUUCAGACCAGCUUCAGUGGAAAUGACAUUGCCUUCCCUUCAACCCUUGGUUUGAAGAGGGAGGGUACGUGGUGUGCAACACGAAGCUGA
rnacentral:lncRNA from 1 species